GGAAGAAUGGCGUGCUAUUCUAUCUCCUGAGCAGUUUCGAAUCCUCCGUCAGAAAGGAACUGAGCUAAAGGGAAGUGGUGAAUAUGACAAGUUUUUUGAUGAAGGAAUUUAUAACUGUGCUGGUUGUGGAACUCCAUUGUAUAAAUCCUCAACCAAAUUUGACUCUGGCUGUGGUUGGCCUGCUUUCUUUGAGGGUCUUCCGGGGACGAUAAAUCGCUCUCCAGAUCCAGAUGGAAGGAGGACGGAGAUUACAUGUGCUGCUUGUGGUGGACAUCUUGGUCAUGUUUUCAAAGGAGAAGGUCACAACACACCCACAGAUGAACGACACUGUGUCAACAGCGUUUCUGUCAAGUUUAUCCCUGCAAAUACCUCAUCUGUUCUACUCUGAAAAUGGUGUCGUUUUCACCUUACCUUAAGACUUGGCAAAUGGUAGAGGGCUGAAGCAACUGUUUGUGAACAUGUUUAUGUUUAGUCUUGAAUGAAUAAUAGAGAUUCAUAGAACCGAUAGUAAACUAUUUCAAGACUGAAGUAUUUUUGAUUUAUUGAUAUAUAUGUUGGUGGCUAUUCAAAGUCUAUAAACACAACCUAUAUCAACC
rnacentral:misc_RNA from 1 species